GGUGAUCUGGAUUGGAUUAAGAUGAGAUAACCCCCUAAAUGUGGGCAUUGCCAUUCCAUGGGCUGCGACCCUGGGCUGCUUUAAAAGAACGUAGCUAGCUAACACCAGCUUCCAUCUCUCCUUGCUUCCGGAUUGUGGCUGCAAUACAGCCAGCUGCCUCUUCAAGUUACGGCAGCUGCGACUCUCCUGCCAUGGUGGACUCUACCCUCAGUAUCUCUUUCUCCUUCUGUUGCCUUUGGGUCUUGAUGCAGAACUCUCAGCUGCUCCUCCAGCAUCAUGUCUGCCUGCAUGCAGCCAUACUUCUGGCCACGGUGACAACAGACUAAACCUCUGAGCUGUAAGCCAAUCCCAAUUAAAGGAUUUGUAUAUGAAGGAGUGCUUUGACACACUUAUGUGAAUCGCUGAAUAACUUUGGAUAUUAGUCCUCACUUUUGCUUUGUUUCUAAGGAUGAAGAGAAAGAAGCUUAACCUUUCAACAAUCAUGAUAGUUUAUAUUCAGUUGCUCUAAAGGAUUCUUAAAGAGGGAAGAAAAGCAAAAAGAGUUCCUGAUCGUUUAUUUUCCAAAGAGCUAAGGGCAGACAGUGUGACUUGUCAAAUGUAAAGCAGAGGCCCUGCCGACUGGACACACCACAGGAACAUCAACUCCUCAGCCUCAGCCUGAUGCAGACUUAGCAUGGCCAGCAGUGACCACACUUAGUCGCACUUGUCUCUGUCCUCAACCUGUGAAAAGGGGUCAAUAAUUUAAGCCUUCUCCUCUCAGAGAGUAGGUAGCUUAACCAUAAUAACAAUAAAUUAA